UACGUAGGGUGCAAGCGUUAAUCGGAAUUACUGGGCGUAAAGCGUGCGCAGGCGGUUGUGCAAGACAGAUGUGAAAUCCCCGGGCUUAACCUGGGAACUGCAUUUGUGACUGCAUAGCUGGAGCGCGGCAGAGGGGGAUGGAAUUCCGCGUGUAGCAGUGAAAUGCGUAGAUAUGCGGAGGAACACCGAUGGCGAAGGCAAUCCCCUGGGCCUGCACUGACGCUCAUGCACGAAAGCGUGGGGAGCAAACAGG
rnacentral:rRNA from 1 species